rnacentral:misc_RNA from 1 species
GAUGAAGAACGUAGCGAAAUGCGAUACGUAAUGUGAAUUGCAGAAUUCAGUGAAUCAUCGAGUCUUUGAACGCACAUUGCGCCCCCUGGUAUUCCGGGGGGCAUGCCUGUCCGAGCGUCAUUGCUGCCCUCAAGCACAGCUUGUGUGUUGGGCCUCCGUCCUCCUCCCGGGGGACGGGCCCGAAAGGCAGCGGCGGCACCGCGUCCGGUCCUCGAGCGUAUGCGGCUUCGUCACCCGCUCUUGUAGGCCCGGCCGGCGCUUGCCGACACAUCAAUCUUUUUUCCAGGUUGACCUCGGAUCAGGUAGGGAUACCCGCUGAACUUAAGCAUAUCAAUAAGCGGAGGA